GACGUGGGGUGCAAGCGUUGUCCGGAGUGAUUGGGCGUGAAGGGCGUGUAGGUGGUUUGGUAAGUCUCCUGUGAAAUUCUCUGGCUCAACCAGGGAUGGUCGGGAGAAACUACCAAGCUCGAGGGAGACAGGGGCAGAUGGAAUUCCCGGUGGAGGAGUAAAAUCCGUUGAUAUCGGGAGGAACACCAGUGGCGAAGGCGAUCUGCUAGGUCUCUCCUGACACUGAGGCGCGAAAGCCUGGGUAGCGAAAGGG
rnacentral:rRNA from 1 species